UACGUAGGGUGCAGGCGUUAAUCGGAAUUACUGGGCGUAAAGCGUGCGCAGGCGGUUUGCUAAGACAGGUGUGAAAUCCCCGGGCUUAACCUGGGAACUGCGUUUGAAACUGGAAGGCUAGAGUGUGGCAGAGGGGGGUGGAAUUCCACGUGUAGCAGUGAAAUGCGUAGAGAUGUGGAGGAACACCGAUGGCGAAGGCAGCCCCCUGGGCUAACACUGACGCUCAUGCACGAAAGCGUGGGGAGCAAACAGG
rnacentral:rRNA from 1 species